GUGUUUACUUCAGUGGCACAUUUACUAAAAUUGGAGCAGUACAUAGAUGAACAUGACUCCUGCACAUGGAUGACAUGCAAAUUCGUGAAGUGUUCCAUAUUUUU
rnacentral:snRNA from 1 species